UUUUUUUGUGUUUUAUUGUGCAGAGAAUGAUGCAGCAGUAAUCUACUCAGCAGUGAGAACGGAAGACGUCAGUUAUAGUCGAACCAUCAAAGAUAAGAAAACCAGAUCACAGAUGAGAGAGAUUUAUUCAGCUGCAGUCUACUCAGCAGUGAGAACAACAGGCAUCAGUUAUGAACAAUUAUGCUGUCACACCAAAGAGGAAAAGAGACUUUAAACCAGAGCCAGACGUCGUCUACUCUUCACUGAAGUAGUCCACCAGUCCAACCACUGACAUCCAGCUGCUGGUUUCUAACUGGUCCCCCCAGCACCUCAGACCAGAGGACAUCCACAUGUUGAUCUUUUCUAUUUUCAGUUUUCUUAUCUAGAUAAUUAUGAUAUUUUCAAAUUCAAAUUUCCUGUAAAAUCAUCAACAAUAAUAAACAUAUGUU